AAGCAAUGGCUGCUGCGAAGUCCGAUGAAGCAAAGGAUAACUUUAGGAAAAAGGCCUGCAAGUACUACUAAUGGUGCCAGCAAUGCUGCAGCAAAGAAGGGCCGUGGAACUGGUGGUUUGCAGAACCAGCUUGUUAACAGGGCAUUGGAAGGUUUAUCUCGUGGUGGAAGAAGUGGUAUGAGGAGCAGAGGGUGGGGAGGACGUGGACGAGGAAGGAGCUACUGGUAGCUUUGAUUCCCACCCAUAUUGUGUAACAGAACCAUCAGAACAAUGGAGUUAGUAUGAAUCAGAAGAAUAGGAACAAGAGUCAUUGAUGUAUUAAAACUCUCUUCUAUUGGAACAAUUUUUAUAUAUAUAUAUAUAGGGGCAGAUAAUGAGUUUUUAGAUUCAUUGAGGACCAACACUGGGUAGAGUUCUGCAGGAGCUGCUCUACUUUGACAGGCUCCAGAUGACUCGAGGCCCCGGUUUCUCAAUCCUUUCUAAUUUUGCCCAUUAGAACCACCGUUGUUUAGAAAAUUUGUUCAUGUCUGCUGUUAAAAAUCUUUGAAUGUUUGCUUUUUGCAUGUA